rnacentral:rRNA from 1 species
AACGAACGCUGGCGGCAUGCCUAACACAUGCAAGUCGAACGGGAUCCUAGCUUGCUAGGUGAGAGUGGCGGACGGGUGAGUAACACGUGGGAAUCUGCCUUUUGGUUCGGGAUAACCGCGGGAAACUGCGGCUAAUACCGAAUGCCCUCGAGAGAGGAAAGAUUUAUCGCCAGAAGAGGAGCCCGCGUCCGAUUAGGUAGUUGGUGGGGUAAAAGCCUACCAAGCCGACGAUCGGUAGCUGGUCUGAGAGGAUGAUCAGCCACACUGGGACUGAGAUACGGCCCAGACUCCUACGGGAGGCAGCAGUGGGGAAUAUUGGACAAUGGGGCAACCUGAUCCAGCAAUGCCGCGUGAGUGAUGAAGGCCUU